AUGACUGGCCUUGGCGCUCGGCAGCAGGACCGAGCUCCUCUCGCGCCCGGCAGCAGGACCAUGCUCGUCUCAUGCCCGGCAGCAGGACCAAGCUCGUCUUGCGCCCGGUGCCAUUCGAUGGGGUGGUGGAGGCCAGUUUGGCCGGCCUAUUGGGUCUCGGCACUGGGGACAACCCAGGGGUGCGAAAGGAGGGUCCUUUCUACUCGUAUCUUUGGGUGGGGUAGCGAUGGAUCUUGGGUGAGGUGGUGUCAAGGGUCUUGGACCCGGGGCGGUGACCCUGGUGGUGGGUCUGCGGUGCUCAUGGACAGAGCGCGUGGCUUGGUGAUGCCUGGUUGCCAUGGCCCUGUGGGCGGUGUGGUAGCCAGGGUGUGGCGUUCAGUGGCGGUGAAUGGUGGCCGGGGUGAAAACCUGCUCUACCUUCAAACGGACCGGCAGCGGCGAAGCUCGUUCCCUUCUUGA
rnacentral:rRNA from 1 species